UCUCUGUGCUAUGAAGAAUUCCAGAGUGAAAGUUCAAGUGCAGGGAGAGACCCGUCAGCAUGGCUGUUCCUGCCUUUCCUUCUGGGAUCUGAUAUUCUAAUGAGAUGGGCUUCUGAGUCCAGCCCACGUUCCCUGACUGCAAUGGCAUGAGAGAGCUCAGACUACCUUUGUGCUGUAUGAACAAGUGCUAUUUGAUCCACAAAGCUCAAGAUCCCACAAUUGAAAAUGAUUUAUAAAGUAAGAUCAAAAACAUGUGCACUGCAGGAUUUACCAAAGCAUUGGCAUUGUCACUUUCUGAAGAAGCUGCCACUGUUUUGUCAGAAGAAAAGGGACAACUUGUUAAUACCUAUCUAAAUCGUGAGUCCAGAGUUUCUUGCAUCCAUUAUUAAGUGGGCCUAGUCUCUCUUGGAUAAAUUGGAAAAUAAUGGGUUAUAGGAGAAAGAAAAAAGUACCUUAAGUCAGGGAUCAUUGAUUAC